GGGAUACAAAAAUUAAAUGAAAACCCUGCUCUUAGAGGGUUCAUCAUCUAGAAGUGAGAGGAAGAUGUGAAAACAAAAUUUUGUCAUAUGAUGUGGUCAAGUGUUUAAAUGGAAGUAUUAAUAGGAAUCUAAAGGAAAUACAUAUGACUAAAAUAAAAGAAAGUGAAUUCAGCCCUGAGAGUAACAGAGACGUGCAAACAAGAUGAGAGGCGUUGUCUUGGAGCAUAAACAAUGUGGUCCUGGUUAGAUACUGUACUUAAAAUAGAAGCAAGUGAAGAAUCACAAAAGAAGUGAAAAUGGCCAAUUCCUGCCCUAACUGAUGACAUUACCUUGUGAAAUUCCUUCUCCCGGCUCAGACGCUCCCCAACUAAGCACCUCAUGACCCCUGCCCCUGCUUGCCGGAGAACAACCCCUUUGACUGUAAUUUUCCACUACCUACCCAACUCCUAUAAAAUGGCCCCACCCCUAUCUCCCUUUGCUGACUCUUUUUGGACUCAGCCCACCUGCACCCAGGUGAUUAAAAAGCUUUAUUGCUCACACAAAGCCUCUUUGGUGGUCUCUUCACACGGACGCGCGUGACAUUUGGUGCCGAAACAUUUGGUGCCGUGACUCGGAUUGGGGGACCUUCCUUGGGAGAUCAAUCCCCUGUCCUCCUGCUCUUUGCUCCGUGAGAAAGAUCCAUCUACGACCUCUGGUCCUCAGACCAACCAGCCCAAGGAACAUCUCACCAAUUUUAAAUCGGGUAAGCGGCGUCUUUUUAUUGUCUUCUCUGUCCUCUCACUAUCCGUCAACCCCUUUCUCCUUUCAAUUUCUGUGCCACCUUUCAAU
rnacentral:lncRNA from 1 species